rnacentral:rRNA from 1 species
AUGGGAUUUUAUCUACCCGAUUGCGGGCCGCGCCGCCGCGACGCCGUCUACUGGCGGCAAUCGCUCUACGUCCAUUGCCGCGGCGGUUUCAUCAUCAGGUUGUCGCUGCUGACGGGAAAGUAUGUGGUGAUCAAAACCCCAGGAGUCACCAAAGUCGCCGAGCGUCCGUGGGCUAUGCCACGCCUGGGCAAGUCUCGGAAGGGGGUUUACUGCACCAUCAUCAACAUGCUAAAUCUCCAGGUAUGGGUACUGACCGAAGAAGAAUCACCGACGGCAACGCCGGUGUGGGAGAUGGCACAUCACGCCGACCUCGAGCCCUCCGUCGGGCAACUGAUGCGCAAAAACCUCCAAACCACUGAGAAGUCUUGGAUCCUGGACGAUCCCAGGAGACGGAAAUCAUCUGCGGAACAGAGAUGCCGAGAAUGGGACUCUGACAACGACGACGAUGAUGGCGCCUAUGUCGAGGAAGAAGAAGGGGGUGGCGCCUUUGGUUGGCUGGAUUUCUUGGGGUACCAUCCUCAUAAGGAGAUUGUGUUCUUGGGCCACCAGUACAAGCGUUGCGCUUAUGCCUACUACCUGAGCACCUCCAAGCUUGAGUACCUUGGUGAUCUUUGCCCGACUAGCCCUUGCAAUGAUGUAAUUUUCAGGUGGAACUCAAUGAUUUUACAUAUACAUGAGCUUGCUGAAAUUACUUUGCACAGUCUGCUUUCUGGACCUUGUGUCCUUGCACACUGGUCCAGCUGA